UACGUUGAGAGAACAACGGUUGAUUCUCCGCCUCUUCCUCCUCCUCGGCAAGCAUGCUCGGGCAGGGCGCCACAGGAGGAAGACAGCACGCAUGCGCACGUCUCCCCCGUCCCACUCAGCUGCGCCUGCGCACAAGGCAUGAGUUCCAGUCCUGUUCAGAUGGAACCAGACUUAAACCCCCAGGAGGAGAAGCAGCAUCGGAAAAGUACCCCAAGAAGAUCUUCGCAAGCCCCACG